ensembl:lncRNA
GGUGGGACACCGGGUAAGCAAGCUCAUCGCACACCCAUGGACUGGCACAGCAAGCUGACUUGAGCUGAGCUCUGUGGCCAAUGUGUAGUUGGCUGAAGAAAUAUGUGGCCUGAAAGACUGAAGAUAGGCCUAAGGAAGAGGACCUUAAGGUGCAUCAGGGUUGUCACUCACAUGACACAUAAACAGAAGAAACUCUUCACCUUUCAUUCUUCACAUCUGUUAGCUACACUAAAGUGCUUUGAGAGGCUUGUUCACUCAAAAUUAGAAAUAGCAAUCCUUUUUCAUCCAAAAGCUGGACGGAUUUAACGUUAUUCCACAGUUCAACAACUUGUAGGAGUGCAGAAUACCUGUAGAGCCAGGAACCAGCGACUCAAAGUCUUCUGUUAAUUCUCAGUUCAGUCAUGGUUUUGAAAGCAUACCAACAAGAAAAGCAAGUUUUCUAGCAAGAGGUUUGGGAAAAACAGAGUUAUAUUGGGUUGACACAUCUACACAUACAACUCUAGGUCUUGAUUCAGUUAAGCUGGCUGCAGAUGGUACACUGCAUAAUGCCUAGGGAAAGGUAGGACCCAUAUGGUGGAGCCUAUAGAUCUCUGUGAACUUUUAGCCUAAGAAAUGUAUUUGUUUCCCCCUGUAAAAUAAUUAAAGUAUGUUUAAAAUGUGUUACAAUUUUGUGGAAGGCUUGGAUUUAUCACGGCACAUUAACUCAUCCAAGCAUAUGUUGUUUGACUAUGUAAAACAGAAUGGGAAUUAUGUCCUCAGUAUGAGCCCCUGCAAAUGUGUUAUUUAUGAAGAUGCAAUACAUGAUGAAUAAUAUGUUUCCCAUUGUAUUUAACAGUUCAGAAACCUACCUCACUUGGGGUUCUGCAAACAAAAGAAAAUGGCAUCAUCUACAACUGUUGUCAUUACAGGAUUUUUGUGUUUUAAAUGUUUUUCCUUUUCUCUGGUUUUCAAAAUAUGAUCUUGGUGGAAACCUCACCAGGGAGUCCUAUUAAAUAUUAACAGCAUGUAACACAUACAUGUAUUAUUCCAACCAAAUGCAAAAUGACCUAAGGGUACAAGGACAUGAGCAUGCUUAUGAGAGUGAGUAAAAACAUGCACAAAGUCACUGCUUUCAGUGCAGGCAUGGAUUAAGAUUAAAUAAACAAAUGACUUCUGUCUAUGAACAUCAAAUACCAAAAAUGACAGGAGCUGACAAGUGGAGUUUGUCACACUGAGUGUAGCAGUUUCCUGGGGAAGGGCUUAAGGGACAUUCCUGCAGAGUGUGUGCCUGUCCCUUAUGUCACCUCACACCAGUGGAGCAUCCACAGGGACACUGGUAGCAUCUGCUGAGGAAAGGCAGAAGUGUGCAAGAAGUUCUGGACAUUCAGGGAAGACCACAUGAGUAUUGUGCACUCUUGAAUCCAAGUGGAUGCCCUGAAAACAAUCAGUCCUGCACACUCCCAGUCCUCACAUUUCCUGUGGUGAAUUUGACAAGACUACCAGAUGAGCAGGCUUGAAGGUCCUCUGAACUGUAGCUAAGGGCUAUGUUUCGGUUGUCCAACAGGACUGUCACGUCACAUACAUGCCUAAAUGGAAGGGGUCAGAGUGCCCGGGCAGUACUUCACAUUACAUUACUACCACAGGCUUUCACUUGGUUCAAGCAGCAUCUCCUGUUUCCCUCCUCUCCAGGUCCAGCUCUGCACAGCUUCUGAGCAGAAUGCAAACGUUAUCACAGCUCUAGAGAUGCCAGCCUUUCCAGCCUUUCUAGAUUACAUUAAAAUCAUUAGCAGAAUUAUAAUGGUUGUUUGUCACCCCUCUCAUCCUCCCACCAAUAUUUAAAUAAGAUUUAUCUAGCAUCUACAACAUUCAUUUUGGCUUCAAAAGAAAACAGAUACUUUUUUUUUU